rnacentral:rRNA from 1 species
UGCANGUCGANCGGUAGAGGGGGCAACCCCUCGAGAGUGGCGAACGGGUGAGUANUAUAUCGGAACGUGCCCAGUCGUGGGGGAUAACGUAGCGAAAGUUACGCUAAUACCGCAUACGAUCUACGGAUGAAAGCGGGGGAUCGCAAGACCUCGCGCGAUUGGAGCGGCCGAUAUCAGAUUAGGUAGUUGGUGGGGUAAAGGCUCACCAAGCCAACGAUCUGUAGCUGGUCUGAGAGGACGACCAGCCACACUGGAACUGAGACACGGUCCAGACUCCUACGGGAGGCAGCAGUGGGGAAUUUUGGACAAUGGACGCAAGUCUGAUCCAGCCAUUCCGCGUGCAGGAUGAAGGCCCUCGGGUUGUAAACUGCUUUUGUACGGAACGAAAAGGUUUCUAUUAAUACUAGGAGCUCAUGACGGUACCGUAAGAAUAAGCACCGGCUAACUACGUGCCAGCAGCCGCGGUAAUACGUAGGGUGCAAGCGUUAAUCGGAAUUACUGGGCGUAAAGCGUGCGCAGGCGGUUAUGUAAGACAGAGGUGAAAUCCUCGGGCUCAACCUGGGAACUGCCUUUGUGACUGCAUAGCUAGAGUACGGUGGAGGGGGAUGGAAUUCCGCGUGUAGCAGUGAAAUGCGUAGAUAUGCGGAGGAACACCGAUGGCGAAGGCAAUCCCCUGGACCUGUACUGACGCUCAUGCACGAAAGCGUGGGGAGCAAACAGGAUUAGAUACCCUGGUAGUCCACGCCCUAAACGAUGUCAACUGGUUGUUGGGUCUUCACUGACUCAGUAACGAAGCUNACGCGUGAAGUUGACCGCCUGGGGAGUACGGCCGCAAGGUUGAAACUCAAAGGNAAUUGACGGGGACCCNCACAAGCGGUGGGAUGAUGNNNGNUUANUUCGAUGCAACGCGAAAAACCUUUNCC